UACGUAGGGGGCGAGCGUUGUCCGGAGUUACUGGGCGUAAAGCGCACGCAGGCGGUCUGUGAAGUUUGGAGUGACAGUUGGUGGCUCAACCACCAAAGUGCUUUGAAAACUGAUAGACUUGAGGGCUUCAGAGGGACACGGAAUUCCGGGUGGAGUGGUGAAAUGCGUAGAGAUCCGGAGGAACACCAAAGGCGAAGGCAGUGUCCUGGGGAGUACCUGACGCUCAGGUGCGAAAGCCAGGGGAGCGAACGGG
rnacentral:rRNA from 2 species